rnacentral:lncRNA from 1 species
GUUUAUCUCUCAGUCUCUCUGUCUGUGAGUCUUUUUUCCUCUCUCCCAGUCAGACUCUCUCUCUACCCCUCCCUCUCUCCCUCUCUCCCUCUCUGUCUGGGCCUCUCUCUGUUCCUCCUCCCUCCUCCCUCCCCCUUCUGCAUUAUCAGACCUGCUCCAACCUCCUCCCAGAGCCAGCCGAGCAGCAGAGGCAGUGGCAGCGGGAGAGGCGGGAGCAGCGGGGCAGCAGAGCUGGAUUGGGGUGUUGAGUCCAGGCUGAGUAGGGGGCAGCCCACUGCUCUUGGUCCCUGUGCCUGCUGGGGGUGCCCUGCCCUGAACUCCAGGCAGCGGGGACAGGGCGAGGUGCCACCUUAGUCUGGCUGGGGAGGCGGACGAUGAGGAGUGAUGGGGCAGGCAUGCGGCCACUCCAUCCUCUGCAGGAGCCAGCAGUACCCGGCAGCGCGACCGGCUGAGCCGACGCCUUGCUGAGUCUGGGCUCUGUCAUCGACAUUUCAGGCCUGCAACGUGCUGUCAAGGAGGCCCUGUCAGCUGUGCUCCCCCGAGUGGAAACUGUCUACACCUACCUACUGGAUGGUGAGUCCCAGCUGGUGUGUGAGGACCCCCCACAUGAGCUGCCCCAGGAGGGGAAAGUCCGGGAGGCUAUCAUCUCCCAGAAGCGGCUGGGCUGCAAUGGGCUGGGCUUCUCAGACCUGCCAGGGAAGCCCUUGGCCAGGCUGGUGGCUCCACUGGCUCCUGAUACCCAAGUGCUGGUCAUGCCGCUAGCG